UCUUAAAACAACUUCUUCCUUUAAUUAAUUCUCCUUCAUCUUCUACUUCAAUAUUUAUUUCCUCUUCACCUUACAGUUGCAUUUCGACUGCGAUGUGAGGAAUCCAACAUGGGCAUCGGUUAUGUAUAGGGUCUUCAUAUGCAUCGUUUGCUCCGCUAUUCGUCGCAUCUUCGAAGUACAUAUUAGCUUUCUCAGAAAAGUUUCUUUGCUGAUUGUUUAAAUUGUGAUGAUUUCAUGAUAAGUUUUUUCGUGGAUGUUGGCAUUAGAAAUCUGGUAAGACAAGUUAACAACUUGCUCUUCUUUCUUGACACACUGGUAAGUAAGUGAAUGCAUUUCAAUUGUCUUGAAGAGGACGGCAUGAGGGUUGAGUUCUUUAAGGUGUUAUAUAUGUAAUGUUUGUUCAUCUGAGCUUUAAUGACUCUGACAAUUUAUGGCAUUGUAAAUUUUGUCUUUUGGCUUUAAUGACUCUGACAAUUCUUUCUUUUAAUUUUUCUUUCAAUACUAACUAUUUCUUAUUCAUUCUCACCUACAUUUAUUUUCCACCUCUUCAGACAAGUCAAAAGAAUAUGAAAUUUCAAAUUUCAAUUUUGAAUUGAAAAAACAAGUAUAUUUAUAAUCUCCUGUUUUCAUUGUUUACUGUAUUCAGUCGUUCUUCUGGCGCGUGCUACAGCUGUGGUGGGGAUAAGCCAUAUGGCCAGGGAUUGCAACCAAGGAGGACGCAGAUGUGGAGGCAUGCACGGCAACGGUGGUGGCAGCGGAUCCGCUACAACUAUGGGGAUUCUGGGUACUUUACAAGGGACUUCUAAACAAGCUCUUUGAAAACAAAAUGUGUUUCGAUUGCAAUGUGAAGAAUCCAACAUGAGCGUCCAUUACGUAUGGCUUCUUCAUAUGCAUCGAUUGCUCCGCUGUUCUUCGCAGUCUAAGAGUGCAUAUCAGCUUCUGGUGAAAUUCAAAUUCCAUAUGGACUUUUCUCUUAUAUGUACAAAUGGAGAUGGAUUUGCAAUUAGCAAAGCAGCAGAUAAAAUUGAAGGCAUUCAUGGUAAGUUGCUAAAUGAAGCUGAGGUGGCAGCAGCUAUUGAAGAGAAAGAAACUCAUGCUUUUGAAAUUAAUCCUUUUCAGUUUUGGUUUAGUAGCACUUGCCUUUUUUCAGACUUCGAUGGAGGGAAGAAGUAAUCUUCAGUACUUUUGAACGAUUUGCUAUACAAGUGAUACAAUUGGUACCCCAAAAGAGUGAUUUGAGAGGUUUCUCAACUUCAAUCCAUUAAGAAAUAGUCUAUAUAUACAAAUUAAAAUUUGUUGUAUCAUUCGUUUUCACUGUAAAUCUAAUGAGAGACCAAUAUUAUUU